GCAGACUGGCUUGCACUUCUUUUGCCAGUGGUUAGUUUCCUGCCUGGUAGACAUAAACACCUCCUCCUAAAGCAAUGUGAAAAGAGUGGUAACGUGUUUUGGGAGGUUAUUCUCCUAUUCAACAUCCAGAUUUCCAGAGACCUAUUUCAGCCUCAUCUCCAUGUUUCAUCAUGAAAAGGAGGAAGCCCAAACUGAAGUGAGUAACAAACUUCUUUUCCAAAAGAAGAUGUGGUUCAGUCCUGAGUGGAGCAUAAUGAAGAAAAUCAAUAGGAAGUCGACCAAUGAGCAAGAUGCACUCUGCACCCCACAACCUUGCAGCCCAGGAGGUCUUCAAAAUAUGUUGGAUGGAGGAGAGUAUGCCCCUUUUGUGUCUCCUCCCAUGUUAGAGAGCAAUUUUAUACAGGUCAACAGAAGAGGUGAAUCCAUUUACCUUCAUAAUCGAGCCAACUGGGUGACUGUAGGCAUCUGUUCUUCCAGUUCUACCCAGAAGACUCCCAAUGUGAUGCUGCUGGCACAUCUGACACCUGCUGCUAAAAAACGUUCAGAACCCCUGUUUGAAAGUCUCCUGACAUCCCCUUCUACAGGGAAGCUGGUGCUUACAAGGUUUCUCCCUCUGCAGUUUGUUACUCUUUCUGUGCAUGAUGCUAAGAACUUGCGCCUCAAGUUAAAGCUGGUGAGUGGCCGAGCCUACUACUUACAGCUCUGUGCUCCUCCAUAUAAACAGGAGGCCUUAUUUUCUCAGUGGGUGGACCUCAUCUCCCUCUUGAAUCAUGAGAAAAUCAAAGUUCUCAAAGCAUCAGAGGUCUCAAGCUUUUCAGAAAUCACAAAUAGCACAGAUAUCACAGGCUCCGUGGACAUCAUGGACUUUACAGAGUUCUCAACUAUACAGAACCCACAUCCGUACACAUGGACCGAAGGCAUUCAUGUCAUGGACAGCUUAGAUUUCUUGGAACUUGAAGAUGUCACCGACGUCACAGAUGUGACAGAUGUUCCAGAAAAUGAAGUCCCAGAGGUUCCAGAUGUAAAUAUCGUCACAGAAAUCACAGAAGUCGUAGAGGCCACAGAAGACACACAUAGCUCUGAUGCCUCAAACUUCUCAGGAGUCACUGUGGUGUUUGAAAAUGAUGACAUAAUAAGAGCCAAACAAGAGGAAAAGGAAAUAGUGGAAAUCACUAUGAAGCCUGGAUGUCUACGAGAUACAAAAAGUAAGAGUGAAUUCAAAGAAUCCUCAAAACAUGUCACCAUCUCAGACAUAACACUUACUUUCCAAGGUGAAAGGUGUUUUCAUACUACUUUGAGUGCAGCAAGAAGUGAGGCAAAAAUAUCAAAAGAAAUGAGUGACAAAAUCUCUGAAGAAAAGACAACUGAUUUAAAAAACACAGUUCUCAAGGCAGUAGACUCCAGGAGCAUGAGAACUCAUUCACAUCCUUCAGGCUUGUAUAGUUUUUCAGUUUUCCCCCUGAUUAGUAUUUCUUUCCCCCUUUUCACCCUCCUCUUAUUCAUUUUUCCCCAUUCAUACACUCUUACCCUUAACACUACUUUAUUUCCCGCAAAAGCCAAAUCUUAAUAUUCUUUUCCAUUAAAUUUAGUCUAAGUGUAGACUAAAAAUGAGUCUGUAAUUCCAAUUUCUACUUUAACUAGAAACCAGAAUAAUAAUUUCUCCCCAAAAUAGUAAAUUUCUGGUAGUAUUACGCUCAUCUAUUGGCAUUCAAUGCUAGUUAGGAACAAUGAUCUCUCACACCACUCAGCAGUUUGAGAAAAUUUUACUUUUUAUCUCUGCAGCAUGAGAUUUCGGGGUAAAAUGAUACUUCCAAUACACCAUUUUUAUGACAUGCCUAUGUACCUACAUGAUAAGGUCCUAAGCUAAACUUAUCUCUCUGGAUCUAAGUCCAUCUCUCUCCUUUCUUGACUUUUAAUUUCUAGUUUUUCUAAUCUUUAUUCUCGUUAGCUUUUCUGAUUUCUUUACAGUGAGCCCAAAUGAUAGGCUUAUCUGUGCUUCCAUGGUAUUUUUCCAAGAUGGAAAGAAAUGAGACAAAGUAUGUAGAGAGGAAAAACAUUUAUGACAUAUUGAGAGUUCCUUCUCACCCCUAUCUCUUUUCUACUUUCCUCUUAAAUAUUACAAAUCAUAUUCCUUGGAAUCCUAAACAGUCAGGUUCAUUCCCUGUUUAUGAAGUCUGGGCUAAAAAUAAAAAGGGAAGGAUGCCCCUAAAAGGAAACAGGUUUGUGGAAAUCUAACAGUGAACACCACUGGAAAGAAUUAAAGCAUUUUUGAUGAGGUGAGGUGGUUAGAACAUAAUUUGAAUUUAAGACCCAAAUUAAGUUCUUUCUCCUUCUGUGCCUUUUUCUCUCCUGCUUUUGGCCUUUUACUUUCUCACUUCUUCUCUAAUGAUCUCUUCCACUUUCCCCCACUUUUUUACCCAUUUUCCCUCCACCUCUAUCCUCUCAUAUCAAAUCCACUUCUAAUUUCCUCAACCCUGUGCCUCACCUGUCUCCCCCUUUCUCAGGGGAAUAGAUGUGAGGAAAGGAGAGUAAAACAGAAAGAGGCAAAGUUGACCAAAAAAAAUGUGUAAGAAAACUAAAGGUAAAUACAAACCACCCAACUAAACAAGCUCAUCUCAGGACAAGACCAUGCAAGGGGAAAACAAAGAGUGUCUUCUGAGUGGCGGAAAUAAAGUCAAUACUAACCAUUAAGAAUUCACA